UCCGCAUGCUCCGUUAAAGACAGCAUCUGUGUCGCUGUUCCUGAUUUAGCCCGAAAAUGGUGAAGCUUUCCGCGGAGUUAAUUGAGCAGGCAGCUCAGUACACGAACCCGGUGAGGGACAGAGAGCUGGACCUGAGGGGUUAUAAAAUUCCAGUUCUGGAGAAUCUGGGAGCCACUCUGGAUCAGUUCGACACGGUGGACUUCUCGGAUAACGAAAUCCGCAAACUGGACGGCUUCCCGCUCCUCAAGCGACUCAAGACCUUGCUGAUGAACAACAACAGGAUCUGUCGUAUCGGAGAGAACCUGGAGCAGAGUCUUCCAGCUCUGCGAGAACUCAUCCUGACCAACAACAAGAUCCAGGAACUGGGCGACUUGGAACCGCUGGCGUCGGUGAAGACGUUGACUCUGCUCAGCCUGCUGAGGAAUCCUGUGACCAACAAGAAGCACUACAGGCUCUACGUGGUCCACAAAAUCCCGCAGCUUCGCGUGCUGGACUUCCAGAAGGUCAAACUCAAGGUGGGGGGUGUCAGGCCGGCGGCCGUUUUGUCCGCACGUCCCGGCCCGUGGAGAUGGGUCCGGGCUGAAAGCGCUCACGUCUCGGCCCGUGGAGAUCGGUUCAGGCGGGAAGCGCUCGCGUCCCGGCCCGUGGAGAUCGGUUCCGGGCGAGAAGCGCUCACGGCCGUCACUGUAACGACGUCUGCUUGUGGUCGCAGGAGCGCCAGGAGGCGGAGAAAAUGUUCAAAGGCAAACGCGGCGCUCAGCUGGCGAAGGAUAUCGCCAAGCAGAGCAAAACGUAAGAGGGUCGGUCCCCGGCGGGCGGGUGCGUCGGACGGACGUAUCUCCUAUUCGACUCGGGAACAGAUACUACGUUGGAUCGGAUGUGGGAGAAGCUGCCCGGAGAGCGCCCCGUCUGACUCUGGCUUUCCCUUGCAGGUUCACGCCCGGAAUGGCGGCGCAGCUGGAGAAGGCGAGGACGGGCCCGUCGCACACCGACGUCGAAGCCAUCAAGAACGCCAUCGCCCAGGCGUCGUCACUGGCUGAGGUGGAGCGCUUGAAAGGAAUGCUGCAGGCCGGACACAUACCGGGACGGGAGCGCACACAAGAUGGUGCUGGCGUGGAAGAGGAGGAGGAGGAGGAAGAGGAGGAAGGCCACGCAUCGCAGAUGGCCGAUCAGACGGAAGAGAGCGAGGACAUGGAACAAGGUCCUCACCUCAACGGAUCCUGAUCACUUUUGUGUCUUCACUUUUAGUUUGACCAGAUUAAAUAAAUGAGUCAGAUUUUUCC